rnacentral:rRNA from 1 species
UGGGGAAUAUUGCGCAAUGGGCGAAAGCCUGACGCAGCAACGCCGCGUGAGUGAUGAAGGCCUUCGGGUCGUAAAGCUCUGUCGGAGGGAACGAAUGCUCUUGAGGUUAACAGCCUCAGGAGGUGACGGUACCCUCAAAGGAAGCACCGGCUAACUCUGUGCCAGCAGCCGCGGUAAUACAGAGGGUGCAAACGUUGCUCGGAAUCAUUGGGCGUAAAGCGCACGUAGGCGGCCUGAUAAGUCGGUAGUGAAAGCCCUCGGCUUAACCGAGGAAGUGCUAUCGAAACUGCCAGGCUUGAGUACCGGAGAGGAUCGCGGAAUUCCCGGUGUAGAGGUGAAAUUCGUAGAUAUCGGGAGGAACACCAGUGGCGAAGGCGGCGUCACUGGCCCGAUACUGACGCUGAGGUGCGAAAGCGUGGGGAGCAAACAGGAUUAGAUACCCCAGUAGUCCCUGAGCGGGCUGGCAAGGCGCAU